CUACGGGGCGCUCCAGUGGGGAAUAUUGCACAAUGGAGGAAACUCUGAUGCAGCGACGCCGCGUGAGUGAAGAAGUAUUUCGGUAUGUAAAGCUCUAUCAGCAGGGAAGAUAGUGACGGUACCUGAUUAAGAAGCACCGGCUAAAUACGUGCCAGCAGCCGCGGUAAUACGUAUGGUGCAAGCGUUAUCCGGAUUUACUGGGUGUAAAGGGAGUGUAGGUGGCAUGGCAAGUCAGAAGUGAAAGCCCAGGGCUCAACCCUGGGACUGCUUUUGAAACUGCCGAGCUAGAGUGCAGGAGAGGUAAGUGGAAUUCCUAGUGUAGCGGUGAAAUGCGUAGAUAUUAGGAGGAACACCAGCGGCGAAGGCGGCUUACUGGACUGUAACUGACACUGAGGCUCGAAAGCGUGGGGAGCAAACAGGAUUAGAUACCCCCGUAGUC
rnacentral:rRNA from 1 species